rnacentral:rRNA from 1 species
CGGCGAGUGAAGCGGUAACAGCUCAAAUUUGAAAUCUGGCUCCUCUGGAGUCCGAGUUGUAAUUUGUAGAAGAUGCUUUGGGUUGUGGGUUCGGUCUAAGUUCCUUGGAACAGGACGUCAUAGAGGGUGAGAAUCCCGUAUGCGGCCGAGGCCCGCGCCUAUGUAAAGCUCUUUCAACGAGUCGAGUUGUUUGGGAAUGCAGCUCAAAAUGGGUGGUAAAUUUCAUCUAAAGCUAAAUAUGGGCCAGAGACCGAUAGCGCACAAGUAGAGUGAUCGAAAGAUGAAAAGCACUUUGGAAAGAGAGUUAAACAGUACGUGAAAUUGUUGAAAGGGAAGCGCUUGCACCCAGACUUGGGCGCUGCUGAUCACCUUGCGGUCUCCGCGAGUGCACUCGACAGCGCACAGGCCAGCAUCGGUUCGGGUGGCUGGAUAAAGGCCGUAGGAACGUAGCUCCCUUCGGGGAGUGUUAUAGCCUAGGGUGCCAUGCAGCCCAGCCGGACCGAGGACCGCGCCUUCGGGCUAGGAUGCUGGCGUAAUGGGUGUAAGCGACCCGUCUUGAAACACGGACCAAGGAGUCUAACAUCUAUGCGAGUGUUUGGGUGGUAAACCCAUACGCGGAAUGAAAGUGAACGUAGGUGAGAACCCCUUUGGGGCGCAUCAUCGACCGAUCCUGAUGUCUUCGGAUGGAUUUGAG